rnacentral:Y_RNA from 1 species
GGCUUUGUCCGAAGGCAGUGAGUUUCUCAAUUAGUUGUUCACAGUUACAGAUCAAGCUCCUUGUUCAAUUCUUUCUCCUCUUCUCACUACUGCACUUGACUAGCGUGAG